rnacentral:rRNA from 1 species
GGUUCAGGAUGAACGCUGGCGGCGUGCCUAACACAUGCAAGUCGAGCGGAGAUACUUUAUAAGCUUGCUUAAGGAGUAUCUUAGCGGCGGAUGGGUGAGGAACGCGUGGAGAACCUGCCCUUCACAGGGGGAUAACAGUUGGAAACGACUGUUAAUACCGCAUAUGCUCACAGCACCGCAUGGUGCAGGGAGGAAAGCGCUAGUGGUGAAGGAUGGCUCCGCGUCGGAUUAGCCAGUUGGCGGGGUAACGGCCCACCAAAGCGAUGAUCCGUAGCCGGCCUGAGAGGGCGACCGGCCACAUUGGGACUGAGACACGGCCCAAACUCCUACGGGAGGCAGCAGUGGGGGAUAUUGCACAAUGGGCGAAAGCCUGAUGCAGCGACGCCGCGUGAAGGAAGACGUACCUCGGUAUGUAAACUUCUAUCAGCAGGGAAGAAGAUGACGGUACCUGACUAAGAAGCCCCGGCUAACUACGUGCCAGCAGCAGC